UGGUUUACUCGUGUCGUCAUUCGUCGUGGGCACCUUGUCCCCGGGGCCGGCCAGUUACUUGGCCUCCUGGCUCAUCAUCCUGCCGGAAGCAUCUCCAGCUUGGGGAUGUUGGAGGGUCCCUGGCCCCACCUGGCUGGGGAUGGAGUGUAAGCCGAGGAGAUGCCAUGUGAGGGUGCAGCGAGGAGUUGGGCUGUCUAAAAGCAAAGAAAGAGAUUGCAUCAGACACCGCAUCUGCUGACACCUUGUUCUUGGACUUCCAGCUUCCAAAACCGCGAGAAAUAAAUGUCUGUGUCUAAACCCCAACCCUACCACCUCAACUGCCGUGUGUGGUGUUUUGUGAUGGCAGCCCCAGCUGACUGAGACACCUGGUUAGACCGGAAUAAGCAGGCUGCAAUCGGUAGCAGUCACCAUUGAACAUCCUUGAAGCAAUUCUUCCAAAAUUACCUUGCAUCAAAGACUGCACAAGAACUGCUCUAAGCGGAAGGACUGAUGUCGGCAACCAGGGUUCCACCAGGGGCUGCAGACAGCCCUUGACCUUCAGAAGUAACCAAAUUUACUCACGUAGGCCAGGAAUUUCUAUGACGUGUUCCAAAUUCAGCCUCUCACUGAACACUUCCAGAGCAAGGCAACAUAAACAUCUGCAAGAAGAACAUUGUGUGAGAAAUAUCAAGUGAGAGUGGAAGAGUCUGCGGAGGGCCUCCCUGGGGCUCACCUGUGCUUUUGCCUGAGCUUCACCGUGUCAAGGAUGCAGCACUUUUUCCCUCUGGAGGAAGCAGCUUUCACCUUGGAAGAAUCUUGACCUUGCCAUUCAAAGUCACCAGACAGGGAAUCUGCCAGUGCCUUGAUCUUAGACUUCCCAGCUUCUGUAACUGUGAGCAAUAAAUGUAUGCUGCUUAUAAACUA
rnacentral:lncRNA from 1 species